UGGGGAAUUUUGCACAAUGGAGGAAACUCUGAUGCAGCGACGCCGCGUGAGUGAUGAAGAUCUUAGGAUUGUAAAACUCUGUCCUUAGUGAAGAUAAUGACAGUAACUAAGAAGCAAGCCCUGGCUAAAUACGUGCCAGCAGCCGCGGUAAUACGUAUGGGGCAAGCGUUGUCCGGAAUUAUUGGGCGUAAAGGGUACGUAGGCGGUUUAAUAAGUCCUAAUUAAAAGGCUAUGGCUCAACCAUAGUAUGGUUAGGAAACUGUUGAACUUGAGUAGAUGAGGGGAAAGUGGAAUUCCAUGUGUAGCGGUGAAAUGCGUAGAUAUAUGGAGGAACACCAAUGGCGAAGGCAACUUUCUGGAAUCAAACUGACGCUGAGGUACGAAGGCGUGGGGAGCAAACAGG
rnacentral:rRNA from 1 species